UGCGGGUGCCAGCAGCCGGGAGAAACUGAAGUUAGAGAGCCCCCUCCUCAAUCCCCCAUUUCUUUUGGCUUUUUGGUUGCCUGGGUGUACAGAGGAACAAAUUUGUGGUGUGGAAGGAUUCCAGGCCAGUCAUCUAUCAUGCACAGUGAAUACUCACUAGGCGCUCAUCACACGCUCGGCGGCCUCACCCUCUCCAAGAGAGCUCUGGCGGCGGUCCAGGGGCUGCCCAAGGCUGAGAGCUGACAGAUUUCACAUGUGAGUGGAAAAGGACCACUUGUCUGGCCCUAAACCUCCAAAUUACCAGCCCAUCCCUGCUCCUGGUGACCCCAGAGCAGUGGAGAAACUCACCUUCAUGUGUAGUUCCUGCUUGCACACCAGAUAGCAGCUAUUGUCAAAGGAUCGUGGAUGGUCCGGAUUUGAAAGAGAAAUAUGCACACGUACAAGAUCAGACCUGG
rnacentral:lncRNA from 1 species